rnacentral:rRNA from 1 species
CAGCACCUCAAGUGGUCAGGAUGAUUAUUGGGCCUAAAGCAUCCGUAGCCGGCUCUGUAAGUUUUCGGUUAAAUCUGUAUGCUCAACAUACAGGCUGCCGGGAAUACUGCAGAGCUAGGGAGUGGGAGAGGUAGACGGUACUCGGUAGGAAGGGGUAAAAUCCUUUGAUCUAUUGAUGACCACCUGUGGCGAAGGCGGUCUACCAGAACACGUCCGACGGUGAGGGAUGAAAGCUGGGGGAGCAAACCGUAUUAGAUACCCGAGUAGUCC